rnacentral:rRNA from 1 species
GACGAACGCUGGCGGCGUGCUUAACACAUGCAAGUCGAACGGUGAAGCGCCUUCCUUUUUGGUGGGUGUGGAUGAGUGGCGAACGGGUGAGUAACACGUGAGUAACCUGCCCCCUUCUUCUGGAUAACCGCAUGAAAGUGUGGCUAAUACGGGAUAUUCUGGGUCUGUCGCAUGAUGGGUCUGGGAAAGAUAUUGUUUCGGGGGGGGAUGGGUUCGCGGCCUAUCAGGUUGUUGGUGGGGUGAUGGCCUAGCAAGGCGGUGACGGGUAGCCGGCCUGAGAGGAUGGACGGUCACACUGGGACUGAGACACGGCCCAGACUCCUACGGGAGGCAGCAGUGGGGAAUAUUGCACAAUGGGCGCAAGCCUGAUGCAGCGACGCCGCGUGAGGGAUGGAGGCCUUCGGGUUGUGAACCUCUUUCGCCAGUGAAGCAGGCCUGCCUCGUUUGUGGGUGGGUUGACGGUAGCUGGAUAAGAAGCGCCGGCUAACUACGUG